GAAGGGGGCGAGCGUUAUUCGGAAUCACUGGGGCGUAAAGAGUGCGUAGGUGGCAAUUUAAGUCAGUCGGUUAAAUAUCACGGCUUAACCGUGAAGGGUGCGAUUGAUACUGGAUAGCUAGAGGGCAAGAGAGAGAAGUGGAAUUCCCGGAGUAGCGGUAAAAUGCGUAGAUCUCGGGAGGAACACCGAUUGCGAAGGCAGCUUCUUGGCUUGUUACUGACACUGAGGCACGAAAGCGUGGGGAGCAAACAGGAUUAGAUACCCUGGUAGUCCACGCCGUAAACGAUGAUCACUAGAUGUGGGUUGGCCUUGAGCCGAUCUGUGUCGUAGCUAACGCGUUAAGUGAUCCGCCUGGGGAGUACGAUCGCAAGAUUA
rnacentral:rRNA from 1 species